AUUCAUCUUCGGGGCAGGGUGUGAUUCCCUACCGGCGGUAAUUGGACGUUAUGUCCAUAAGCCCGCGAGCCGUAAAACGCAGGAUUUGGUGAGAUUCCAAAGCCGACAGUAUAGUCUGGAUGGGAGAAGGUGAAG
rnacentral:ncRNA from 2 species